AUGAUCCCUGGUGUCCUCUCUCAGGUGCAGCUGGUCCAGUGGGGCCCGGGAACGGUGAAGCCCGGAGAAACCCUCACCCUGAACUGCGCUGUCUCCGGGUUCUCCAUCUCUACUCGGUAUUACAGAUGGAACUGGAUCCGGCAGCCCCCCGGGAAAGGGCUGGAGUGGAUGGGGUAUAUUUACCCGUAUAGUAGCGGGAGCACAGGCUAUGCCCCGUCUCUCCAAGGCCGAGUCACCAUCUCUGGGGACGCUUCCAAGAAUCAGGUCUCCCUGCAGCUCCGCUCGCUGACAGCCGCGGACACCGCCAAGUAUUACUGCGCCCGGAGAGACACAGUGACACGGGGCAGAGCGGGGCUGGUACAAAAAGGGGAAGCGGCUCGAAGCGGCCGCCUGAGGCCCGAGAAGCAGGGCUCGCUGAGCCCCUCGGAGAUGAAGACACACACAGCCGACUGAGUAUGAACAAGCCGCACGCUAAGAGACGUCU